GUGGUGAAAGUAGGCAUUUUUGUCUCAUUCCAUUUCACAAAGGGAAUGCUUCCACUUUUUGCCUGUUCAGCAUGAUGUCAGCUGUGGGUUUCUCAUAAAUGGCUCUUGUUAUUUUGAGGUUUCUACUCAACCAUGAGAAAACUAUCAUGAGUGAAGCGAGGAGGGCUUGUCUCCAUCUAGUGGAGGGACUCAUUUGGAAUUCCUUACUCUACAAAGUUUGGGGUUUUCUGAAGGUUUGCAACAUUGAAGAGAACAACCCUGUCAUGCUAGCAGAGGAGAAACUACAGUCUUUGAUGGCAGGUUGACAAGGGUACUCUGUCCCUGGAGUCAUUUUAUUAUCUGACUUCUGUAUUCUGCCAAAGACACUGAGACCACCUACCUGCACAUUGGAAAAUACAGCUGAGAUCUGUCUUUGUGACCCAGACAGAUGCCCUCUCAACUUCUCUCUGUUCUGAAGGAAAACAUUGCAGCCCAGGCCAGAUGAAAACAAGCACUUUCCCCCCCACUUUUUCUGUGGGAAAGAUGAGUUGAAACCAAAGUUAAUAUAUUUGAAAAAUCUGGGGGAAAAACAGAACAGAUUUUUAAAAAGCUGUUUCUUUACCCAUCGGUAUGCUAUUUGCAGAAGUCUUACAAAGGAAACUUCUGUUGGAGUGGAAAACACUGAGAGAAACCCAUGUUAUGUGAGACUUUAAUUCCCUGGAGCUGGGAAAAUGAAAGAAUCAGGUCCCUAUAUUCUUGGACUGUUGUCAUUAGUUACCAAGAAUGUUUAUUCAAUUGGUUUUAACCAUUUCAUUAGGAAUUCCUUUCAUCUGCUGGAUAUAGUUAACGCAAGACAGGUGAAGCUAAUUUUAUAAAGCAGUAUUGUUACAUUAUAUGCAACAGAUUUCUGAGCACAGAAAGGAAGAAGAAUCGAUUUUUAUCUGCUCAUUUUUUAAAAGAUAUUUUUCACCAACCGUAUAUCUGUACUAUCAUUACAACAAUGCAGUCUGGCUACAAUCUCAGGGAAUCAAUGUGAUUUAUGUCAUAAUGCUUUCUUCUUGGAAGGGUACAUUUGGCACAAGAUAACUGAUUUUAAGCAAUAAACUUACAGACUCUGGGCCAAUCUUGUUAAACCAUUGGCUAGUGCAAAGCUAAAUCACUUAAUAUAAUUCCCACCUAGAGGCUCAUCCAUUUUUUAAAAUCACUAAACUACUGGCAAAUUCAUGUUAACAAGAUCAGAAUAAAAGCUGCUAGGAUAUUCAGUAUUUUGCAUGAUGGACCUCUCCUUUCCACCAAGAGCACAGGUUAGUUUCUAUCAGAUUAAACAAAAUGAUUUAAAAGAGUAAACUUUUAAUCAGUGUUUUUCUAGCUUGUAGCAUAUGACUCAUAUUAAGAAACAUAUUUUAUAUCAGAUUCCACAUAUAUAAUCUGAAACAAAUUUUUCAGGGAAUAAUACACAUGCUUAUAAUUACGUGGUGCUCUUGAAUAUGUUCUAGUCUAUUCUACUGUAUUAAUGUAAAUUAUUUCAUAAUUAUUACUACCUAGCUUUGUAUCAUGAAUAGUUUGAAAUACAUGGCUUUAGAUAACAUUCACUCUGGAGCUGAAAGCCUGGCACAAAAUAAAAUUGUGCCUAAAUUGAUUAGUAAUAUGCCAAUUAUUAGUGAGUACAAAGCCAAGCACUUUUAAAAUUUAUUCAUUAGCCGACAAAUCUCCAUAAAAACCAUGCAAGUAUUUUAUAAAUGAAGGGCAUAGAAGAGCAAAUUUCAUGGCAAAGUUUUCAUAAAUAGUUGCAGAACUUUGAUAGGCAUCCAGAACUACUCAUGCCUGAACCAUGAAAUUAACAUCUAAGCAGAAGCCUGGGUCUUGGGUCAUCUUCUAGACCUGGGAAUAUUUAAUUGACCUUAGACUCUCCAGAUUACAGGGGAUAUUUAGAAAGUCUUACUUGGUUCUGAGAAAAUUUCCAUAUCUCUAGAAUAUUUGUGGCCUCCUCAAUCCUCCUUCAAAUUGCUUAUGUCCUUCAUUGGGCAAAGAGUUAGACCCGCGGUCCACCUGGUGGGAUCUGCACAUCAAGGGAGGGCAUGGGAGAGUUCUUUCCCUGAGAUUGGCCUUUGCAUAAAAGUUAGCUCAUUUUAAGGUCUAGGGGACUAUGUCUACCAGUAGUAGUAGUAGUAGACAUAGUAACUUAUUCUAGAACUAUUAGAAGGGAAAAUCUGACUGUAAUAGGGACCUAUGACUAAACCUGGGGUCAAGGAGGUGUGUGGUAUCACAGCUUGGAUUCUUUUUUUUUUUUUCAGCAGGUGGAGCGAUCCUAGCACCAAAUUAACCCCAGAUACAUAAAGAGAGAUUCACAGACGCAGUUAUCCUAUGUAAAGGGGCUCAAGUUUGUUUGACCACUGGCCUCUGCAAUGGAUUUGGAACUGUUAAUAGCCAAUUCUUCAACAAUAGUCUUUUUACUCCUAUUAACAGAUGGGGCAGCAAUAAGUAACUCAAAUUUGUUGAGGAGCAACUUUAUUUUGAUGUCCCAGAGUUCAGUGAAGCAAGACAGUAUUCUCAUAGACUGCCUGACUAAUGUGUUCUGAACACGACAAACUAAUUUAUGAGCAAGAAAUUCAUUGGUUCACAUAGUGGUCAAAAUGAUUAGGGGCUGAAUCUUGCCUUGUCAUCCAGGCUGGAGUGCAGUGGCAUGGUCACUCAAGUGAUCCUCCCACCUCAGCCUCCUGACAAAAGUGAUGAAUACAAUCUUUGAGUGAACUAACGGAAUAUCUGAGACGAGUUGAAAAUCUGUUGGGUCAAGUGCCUGUUCCCUGAAGAUGCACACAUCCAGAGAAUGACAGAGAGCCGUUUUUCCAGGCCAAAGCUAACUUCUGUUUCCAUAACACUGUGGGAAGCUGAAAAUGCAAGCCACACAGGUUUGUCCCCAGUCUGUG
rnacentral:lncRNA from 10 species